AUACGGAGGAUGCGAGCGUUAUCCGGAUUUAUUGGGUUUAAAGGGAGCGUAGGCGGAUUAUUAAGUCAGUUGUGAAAGUUUGCGGCUCAACCGUAAAAUUGCAGUUGAUACUGGUAGUUUUGAGUGCAGAAGAGGUAGGCGGCAUUCGGGGUGUAGCGGUGAAAUGCUUAGAUAUCACGAAGAACUCCGAUUGCGAAGGCAGCUUACUGAACUGUAACUGACGCUGAUGCUCGAAAGUGUGGGUAUCAAACAGGAUUAGAUACCCUGGUAGUCCACACAGUAAACGAUGAAUACUCGCUGUUUGCGAUAUACAGCAAGCGGCCAAGCGAAAGCAUUAAGUAUUCCACCUGGGGAGUACGCCGGCAACGGUGAAACUCAAAUGAAUUGACGGGG
rnacentral:rRNA from 1 species